GAUUUGUUUUUUAAUUUGAAAAUAGAAUGAAAGGAUACACUAUUAAAUUUAGUAUUAUUCUAUUAUUUAGAAAUUAAAACCUUAAUGAAAAUUUUAAGAUGAUUUUUUUAGACGAUAAGACCCUAAGAAUCUUUAUUUAAAUAUAUACAUAUUUUUUAUAUGUUAAUUAUUAAAUUUAAUUGGGGAAAUAAUUAAUAAAGGUAUUAAUAUAAAUUUAAAGUAAAGAUCCUAGUAAUAUAAUAGCGAUAUUGAAAAAGAUACUCUAGGGAUAACAGCAUAAUAUUUAUUCAAGUCCAUAUUUAGAUAAAUGA
rnacentral:rRNA from 1 species